GAAAUGCGAAAAGCAAUGCGAAUUGCAGAAUUCCGCGAGUCAUCAGAUCUUCGAACGCACCUGGCGCCGACCGGAUCUCCGAUUGGCAUGCUUGUUUCAGUGUCUUGUUGAGACUCAUAUAACUCAAUGUGAUUGAGGGAGCCACUGUGCAAAUGGUGUGUACCCCUCUCUCAUGAAAUGAGCACUGGCCUCGUACAGGCUGAUGCAGUAGUCAAUUGGUGUCUCGUACACCGAUCGAUACUCUUCGGUAACUGUUCGUCGAAAACAGUGAACUAUGAUUCAACCUUCUACAUGCAUCUGAAGCAAGCAAGAAAACCCGCUGAACUUAA
rnacentral:misc_RNA from 1 species